AUUGAACGCUGGCGGCAGGCCUAACACAUGCAAGUCGAGCGGAUGAGAAGAGCUUGCUUUUCGAUUCAGCGGCGGACGGGUGAGUAAUGCCUAGGAAUCUGCCUGGUAGUGGGGGACAACGUUUCGAAAGGAACGCUAAUACCGCAUACGUCCUACGGGAGAAAGCAGGGGACCUUCGGGCCUUGCGCUAUCAGAUGAGCCUAGGUCGGAUUAGCUAGUUGGUGAGGUAAUGGCUCACCAAGGCGACGAUCCGUAACUGGUCUGAGAGGGAGGUCAGUCACACUGGAACUGAGACACGGUACAGACUCCGACAGGAGGCAGCAGUGGGUAAGAUUGGACAAGGGGCUACAGCCGGAUCCAGCCAUGCCGCGUGUGUGAAGAAGGUCUUCGGAUUGUAAAGCACUUUAGUUUGGGAGUAAGGGCAGUAAGUUAAUACCUUGCUGUUUUGACGUUACCGACAGAAUAAGCACCGGCUAACUCUGUGCCAGCCGCCGCCGUAAUAC
rnacentral:rRNA from 1 species